ACUACGGGUGGCAGCAGUGAGGAAUAUUGGUCAAUGGGCGGAAGCCUGAACCAGCCAAGUAGCGUGCAGGAUGACGGCCCUACGGGUUGUAAACUGCUUUUAUACGGGAAUAACGCGCCUUACGUGUAGGGCUUUGCAUGUACCGUAUGAAUAAGGACCGGCUAAUUCCGUGCCAGCAGCCGCGGUAAUACGGAGGGUCCGGGCGUUAUCCGGAUUUAUUGGGUUUAAAGGGAGCGUAGGCCGCAUGUCAAGCGUGCUGUGAAAUGUUCGGGGUCAACCCGGGCCUUGCAGCGCGAACUGGCGUGCUUGAGUCCGCGGAAGGCAGGCGGAAUUCGUCGUGUAGCGGUGAAAUGCUUAGAUAUGACGAAGAACCCCGAUUGCGAAGGCAGCUUGCUGCAGCGGAACUGACGUUGAUGCUCGAAAGCGCGGGUAUCGAACAGGAUUAGAUACCCUUGUAGUC
rnacentral:rRNA from 1 species